UACGAAGGGGGCUAGCGUUGCGCGGAAUCACUGGGCGUAAAGCGCACGUAGGCGGAUUGCUAAGUCAGGGGUGAAAUCCUGGAGCUCAACUCCAGAACUGCCUUUGAUACUGGCAACCUUGAGUCCGGGAGAGGUGAGUGGAACUGCGAGUGUAGAGGUGAAAUUCGUAGAUAUUAGGAAGAACACCAGUGGCGAAGGCGGCUCACUGGCUCGGUACUGACGCUGAGGCGCGAAAGCGUGGGGAGCAAACAGG
rnacentral:rRNA from 1 species